GUUUUUAUAGUUGAAUAACAACGAUGAUUUUUCAUGUCAUUGNNCNUGGUUAGAUUCCAUGUAAAAAUA
rnacentral:tRNA from 1 species